rnacentral:rRNA from 1 species
UUAUCGAAUUUUGAUUUCGAGGAGAAAGGGCAUCGAUUGUCGCUGGCUGGCUUUUCAGCAUGUGCACAUCUAUGCUUUCUCACCUCGUCUCAUAUCCCACACACCUGUGCACCUAUUGUANGUCCUCGAAAGAGGAUCUAUGUUUUUUCUACAUCACACACGUCGUAUGUCUAGAAUGUAUUUGAUAACUUGUCGAUCAGGCUUGAUUGUCCUGGUCCCCAAGGUUCAAUAAAACCACUAUACAACUUUCAGCAAUGGAUCUCUUGGCUCUCGCAUCGAUGAAGAACGCAGCGAAUUGCGAUAAGUAAUGUGAAUUGCAGAUUUCCAGUGAAUCAUCGAAUCUUUGAACGCACCUUGCGCUCCUUGGUAUUCCGAGGAGCAUGCCUGUUUGAGUGUCAUUGAAUUUCUCAACCAUGCCUUUUGUGCAUGGCUUGGACUUGGGGGUUUGCUGGCAGCCAUCAGCUCUCCUGAAAUGCAUUAGCAAAGGAUGUGCUAGUCUCUGGACGUGCACGGCCUUCGACGUGAUAAUGAUCGUCGUGGCUGGAGCGUCCUCUUUCAGGGGACCAUGCAUAUGAAUUUGCUUCUAAUACAGCAGCUAGUUACUAGUCGGUCAUGAGCCUGGCGAACACAGCUGAGAACUUUUCGAACCGUUGACCUCAAAUCAGGUAGGACUACCCGCUGAACUUAAGCAUAUCAAUAAGCGGAGGAAAAGAAACUAACAAGGAUUCCCCUAGUAACUGCGAGUGAAGCGGGAUGAGCUCAAAUUUUGAAUCU